AUUGAACGCUGGCGGCAUGCUCUACACAUGCAAGUCGAACGGUAACAGGCCGCAAGGUGCUGACGAGUGGCGAACGGGUGCGUAAUGCAUCGGAACGUGCCCAGUCGUGGGGGAUAACUACUCGAAAGAGUAGCUAAUACCGCAUACGAUCUAUGGAUGAAAGCGGGGGACCGUAAGGCCUCGCGCGAUUGGAGCGGCCGAUGUCAGAUUAGGUAGUUGGUGGGGUAAAGGCUCACCAAGCCAACGAUCUGUAGCUGGUCUGAGAGGACGACCAGCCACACUGGGACUGAGACACGGCCCAGACUCCUACGGGAGGCAGCAGUGGGGAAUUUUGGACAAUGGGCGCAAGCCUGAUCCAGCAAUGCCGCGUGCAGGAAGAAGGCCUUCGGGUUGUAAACUGCUUCUGUACGGAACGAAACGGCUCUGGUUAAUACCCGGGGCUAAUGACGGUACCGUAAGAAUAAGCACCGGCUAACUACGUG
rnacentral:rRNA from 1 species